GAGGACUGCAGUCACUAGGAGUGGUUGGUGUAAGAGAUUAUUCUUUUAUAUCAUUGACUCAAAGUUUCCUGAAGAACAAGUCCAGGCAAGUCCUGGGCAAAGGUAGAGAAAUCUUCUGUCUGGAGGACACUGAUGGACAGGUCCUGGCUACGGGUUGUGAAAUCCUUUAAGGAGCACAGAUGGACAAGGCCAGGGACAACAAGAGGGGGAUAAGCUGCUGAUAAUGGCCAGGAAACGGUCUUUUGUGUGGACUUAUCUCAAGGAAGAUGGCCAUCUCAGGAGGUACGCAUAUGACUCUUGCUCAAGCACCCAGGGAUGUCAGGUAGGCAGGAAAAAAGGAGGAUAAAAGAGGGUCCAACAACCAUGAGGGGAGGGUUUCUGCCAUCAGAUCGCUCACCACGACGGACUCGGGGUUUCUGCCAUCAGAUCCUUCACUACGGACCGUAUGCUGACGGACUUCCCUGGGCCUGCUACCUGAGACCUGCUGCUUCCUUCCAGGCUUACUCUGCACCUUCUUCCUGGAUCCACCCGGUACCUGCACCUUCUCGUUGCCCACGACCAACCUCGCUGCUCCUGCCCUUCAGCCUCGGACCAUUGGAACGUCGUACGAUGGGACUACUGUCGGAUCCUGGUGGUGACUAUCCCCGCUUUAUGUAAUUCUUGCUUCUUUCUAUCUUUUCUAUCACUCGCCUUCCCUUCCCCAUCACCCCAAUCUGUAAUAGUGUCCGUCCUGUCCUUUCUUCAUCUCCCUUAUUAACAUUUGAAAUAAACUGGUCAGACCAACAUUCGAACCGUUGUUUCUUAAUCUCAUGCCGGGCAUACAUAUUUCAAAGAACCUCCUCUCCCUCCUAUAAAUUGGAGCAAGGCAGUUGGCAAAACUGAAGGUUUUUAGUGUUUAGUCUGGUAUAAAGAGAAAGAGAAAAAAAUGUUUUAUCCAUAUUUAACAGCUUUUUAAAAAAGCUGUAGGAAACAGAAAUAUUUUUCUUGUUUGUAUCAUAUAACACCUAGCAAAUCUCGUAAUAUUUAUAUUUCUGCCUUAUAUUAGUGUGUUUAAACUACU
ensembl:lncRNA